rnacentral:rRNA from 1 species
UCCUACGGGAGGCAGCAGUAGGGAAUAUUGCGCAAUGGACGAAAGUCUGACGCAGCAACGCCGCGUGGGUGAUGAAGCAUUUUGGUGUGUAAAACCCUGUCAGUGGGGAAGAAACGUAUGAGUAGUAACUGACUCAUACCUGACGGUACCCACAGAGGAAGUCCCGGCUAACUCCGUGCCAGCAGCCGCGGUAAUACGGGGGGGACUAACGUUGUUCGGAUUUACUGGGCGUAAAGGGCGCGUAGGCGGACUUUCAAGUCGGAUGUGAAAUCUCCAGGCUCAACUUGGAGCUUGCAUCCGAAACUGUUGGUCUUGAGUGCAUUAGAGGAAAGCGGAAUUCCAGGUGUAGCGGUGAAAUGCGUAGAUAUCUGGAAGAACACCAGUAGCGAAGGCGGCUUUCUGGGAUGUUACUGACGCUGAAGCGCGAAGGCUAGGGUAGCAAACAGGAUUAGAUACCCUGGUAGUCCUAGCGGUAAACGAUGGGCACUAGAUGUCGGAAGGCGUUGACCCUCUCGGUGUCGCAGCUAACGCAUUAAGUGCCCCGCCUGGGGAGUACGAUCGCAAGAUUGAAACUCAAAUGAAUUGACGG